CGGGAGCAGUGGGACGCAAUGGUCUUACUGGAGUCUCUCAGGUUGGGGUUAUCACUCCUGUCAGUGAAGGCUUGACUGGGGCUGGAGGAUCAAUGUCUAAGACAGUGGUUCUCAACAUGUGGGCUGAAACCCGUUGGGGUCGAAGGACCCUUUCCCAGGGGUUGGCUAUCAGAUAUCCUGCAUGUCAGGUGUUUACAUUACCAUCCCUAACAGCAGCUAAAUUACAGUCAUGAAGUAGCAAUGAGAUCAUUUUAUGGUUGGGGUCAGCACAACAUGAGGAGCUGUAUUUAAGGGUCACAGCAUUUGGAAGGUUGAGAGCCCUGCUCUAAGAUAACUCCUCACAGGCCACUAGCCACAAACCUCAGCCACUCACUUCUCCAGCAACUUCCAUCCCUCGCUGUGUAAUCCUUUCUCGUUUGUCUUGUUGAGACUAUUACACGGCCCAUGCUGACUUUGAAUUCUAUAGUGAAUACUAUAUAGCUAAGGGUGACCUUGAACUUGUGAUUUUCGUGCCUCCACCUCCUGAGUGCUGGGACUUACGCUGCCUUACCUGGUUUAUGUCCUGCUAGGGAUCCAACUCAAGGCUUCAUACACAGGCAAGCACUGACUGAGCUUCGUUCCCAGUCUGCCAUGAAACCAGACAGUCCACAUUUCCAAGUCCACCUCCGACAGUUCCCUACGGAGAGCAACCAUCGCAGCUUUCCAGAGUCUUCAAACCUGGGAUGCAAUGCCUACUUGGCUGCCCAAUGGGGUAAUUUAAGGGUGUGAUGCUGGAAGCUACCACACUCUCUUGACUUAUUC
rnacentral:lncRNA from 1 species